GGGCCUAUAGCUCAGCCGGUAGAGCAGUCGGCUCAUAACCGAUCGGUCACAGGUUCGAGUCCUGUUGGGCCCACCA
rnacentral:tRNA from 1 species